CCCUCGAUGGUGUAGUUGGUAUCACAACAGGCUGUAAUAGUCUUUAGAAGCUCAAACUUCUAAUUAAUCGUAACCUGCAGGUCACCAGUUCGAAUCUGGUUCGAGGGA
rnacentral:tRNA from 2 species